GACGAACGCUGGCGGCGUGCUUAACACAUGCAAGUCGAACGGAAAGGCCCUGCUUUUGUGGGGUGCUCGAGUGGCGAACGGGUGAGUAACACGUGAGUAACCUGCCCUUGACUUUGGGAUAACUUCAGGAAACUGGGGCUAAUACCGGAUAGGAGCUCCUGCUGCAUGGUGGGGGUUGGAAAGUUUCGGCGGUUGGGGAUGGACUCGCGGCUUAUCAGCUUGUUGGUGGGGUAGUGGCUUACCAAGGCUUUGACGGGUAGCCGGCCUGAGAGGGUGACCGGCCACAUUGGGACUGAGAGACGGCCCAGACUCCUACGGUAGGCAGCAGUGGGGAGUAUUGCACAAUGGGCGGAAGCCUGAUGCAGCAACGCCGCGUGCGGGAUGACGGCCUUCGGGUUGUAAACCGCUUUCGCCUGUGACGAAGCGUGAGUGACGGUAAUGGGUAAAGAAGCACCGGCUAACUACGUG
rnacentral:rRNA from 1 species